GACGAACGCUGGCGGCGUGCUUAACACAUGCAAGUCGAACGGAAAGGCCCUGCUUUUGUGGGGUGCUCGAGUGGCGAACGGGUGAGUAACGCGUGAGUAACCUGCCCUUGACUUUGGGAUAACUUCAGGAAACUGGGGCUAAUACCGGAUAGGAGCUCCUGCUGCAUGGUGGGGGUUGGAAAGUUUCGGCGGUUGGGGUUGGACUCGCGGCUUAUCAGCUUGUUGGUGGGGUAGUGGCUUACCAAGGCUUUGAAGGGUAGCCGGCCUGCGAGGGUGACCGGCCACAUUGGGACUGAGAUACGGCCCAGACUCCUACGGGAGGCAGCAGUGGGGAAUAUUGCACAAUGGGCGGAAGCCUAAUGCAGCAACGCCGCGUGCGGGAUGACGGCCUUCGGGUUGUAAACCGCUUUCGCCUGUGACGAAGCGUGAGUGACGGUAAUGGGUAAAGAAGCACCGGCUAACUACGUG
rnacentral:rRNA from 1 species